rnacentral:lncRNA from 1 species
CUGCUUGAACUCCUCAUCUUCAUCAGAGUCGCACUCAGGAAACUGGUACACUUUAAUGCCAAAUUUGUCAAUCUCUUCCCGGAUCCUCUCUUUUAGCUUUCGAAUCUCUGAGGGGAUCAGGCAGUCAGCUUUGGCAAUCAGGGGUACAAUGUUAACCUUCUCAUGAAGAGCCUUCAUGAACUCAACAUCCACGGGCCUCAGCCCAUGCCCGAAGGGCGAGAUGAAGUAGAGGCAGCAAUGCACUCGGUUGUCCUGGAUGUUCUUUCGGUUCAGGCCGCUCUCAUCACGGAAGUACUGCUCAAACUGCUGGUCGAUGUAGUCAGUGAUGGGCUUCCAGCAUUCAGUGUUAUUAACAGCAUCUCCAAAGCCUGGUGUGUCCACUAUGGUCAACUUCAGCUUGACACCCUUCUCUUCAAUGUCCACUGUGUGCUUGACAAUCUCCACUGUCUGGUUGAUUCUCUCCUCUGCAUUGAGGAGCUUUCUGUCUUUGUAUAGGUCUGUCAGGAACAGGCUAUUCACGAGCGUGGAUUUGCCCAGACCCGACUCUCCUGCAACCAUCAGGGUGAAGUCAAAACCCUU